rnacentral:lncRNA from 1 species
CCUAAAUAAAAUACCCGACCUUGACAACUGAACUAUGGGCUCAAUUCACUGCUCCAUCCAGACUGGUCUCUGGGUGGUGCAUAUGUGGAGAGAGAUCUGAAGAGCACACCUCUACACUCCAGCCUGGGUGACAGAGCAAGACUCCAUCUCAAAAAAAAAGGAAAGGGGUGUGCCUCUUCCUCUCUCUCCCUUGACUCUGGGCUUGAAUGUGGUCAUCGUGGAUUUUCUCUGAUCAUGUAGGCAAACACAGAAAUUGCAGCGCAACAAAGUAGAAGGAGCUUGAGUUCCCAUCUUCUCUUCUCAAUCUUGGAACACUUGAACUAAGAGAGCAUUUCUAUCUAGUUCAACUUCCUAUCUGGUUAAAAUUCCCAUUUAUUAAGCCAUGUUUGGAUCUUUGUUAGACUUGUUGUCCUAACUUAUUAAAUAAUAGUGAUACCUCCAAAUAGUGGUCUUCCAGAGGUCAUCACUGAGCCCUCUCUUUCCCUUAUGUUCAGUAACUUGCUGCCUUAAUGCCUCUCACCUUCCCCCUCUCUUCAUUCUCACUGCCA